rnacentral:lncRNA from 10 species
UUGGCUUGUUGAUUCCUUUUAUUCUUUGUAUUCUAUUUCAUUAAUUUCUACUCUAUUAUUUCUUUCCCUUCCUGCUACUGCCUCUGAGUUUAAUUUACACUUAUGUUAUGGGUGAGUAAUGCAGACCUCUGAGUCAUUGAUUGUGAUACCAUUCUUCUUUUAAUCCUUAGGAAUUUUACAGAGAUAUACUUCAUAUAUCACAUAUAUAUCAUAUAAUUCUUCCGUUUAAAUAUAUUUAUAGACGUGUGUAACCAUCAAUAAAAUCAAUUUUUGAACAUUUUCAUCAUCACCCCAAAAAAGACUCCACACCCAUUGGCAGUCGCUGCUCCUUGUUUUGUAAUUCCCAACUCUUUUAACAGAAGCCUUGAAAGCUGUGCAUUUCACUCUAAGAACUGGUGUAGUGGCAUCCCACACAUUUCUACAUUUUAUAUAAUCAUCAUAAUUUAUUUUGAAAUAUUUUGAAUUCUCUUUUGAUUUCAUCCAUGAACUAUGAAUUUUUUAUAAGUAUGUUGCUUAAUAUUCACAUAUUGGGAGUUUUUCUAGAUAUAGUUAUUAAUUUAAUUUCAUUGAGAUCAGAGAACAUAUUUUAUAUAAUUUCCUUCAUUUCAAAUGUUUUUAGAUUUGUUUUAUAGUUCACAAUGUGGUCUAUCUUGGUGGAAGUACCAUGUUCAUAGAAAAGAAGGAAUCUCUGGUACAUGUUGCAUGUGUGUGCUAUAAAUGUCGAUUAACCCAUUUAUGCCUGAGGUUGCAAUUUUUUGAAAUUUUACAAUUAGACCUUGGUGAUGACCUUGAGCAGUAGGAUAUAAAUCAUUCCACAUGUUUAGUGUUCCAAUAAUGGAACACUAGGCAUAAGUAUUUGUCAAGAUGGUUGACAGUGUUCAGAUCUGUUGUUAUUUUACUGUUUUCAUCAGAUCAUUCUAUCAAUUGGUAAGAAGGGGGUGAGAUGAUCUCCCUUUAAUCCUUUUGAGUGUUGCUUCAUGCCUUUUAAAGUUCUAUUAUUAGGCAUAUACACAUUUAUGAUUAUUAUGCCUUCUGAUAAAUUCACCCUUUUAACACUACAAAUAGUGCCUUUAAAAAAAAUCUCUGCGAAUAGCAAGUGAAAACCUGACAACAAGCUCUUGGUGACUCUGGACCUGGGCAGUCCUCAGCCUUCUGUUCAGCUGCUCUUCCCACCUCUCACAUGAAACAUGUCUAUGAAAGGCUGAGGACAUCACAUCUGCAUUCAUGCGGGCUUCCUAGAACCCACAGUACUCAUUCAUCCAAGGAGAGCAUGUCAGUGCCUGGUGGCCACACUAUACAAGGAAUCGUGGAGUAUCAGGAAUAAGGCACGACCCUCCCUUUCCUUAGGACAGUUCCAGUUCACAGGGAGAUGAGGCACAUACAUCAAUAACCCCAAAGUCCAUGAAGGUGCAAAGAGUCAUGUGGGGCUGCCCAGGCAGAGGUGACAAAUGCCACUGGUGACAGGACACUGGUGGACAUAGAGGGAAAAGUCCACACAGACAGGUUCCCAGGCAGACAGGAAGUCAAGGCAGUUGGGGACGGGAGUCAAAACAAGUGAUGCUGGGACACAGCUCUGAGGUUUGUGGGCAUCUCUGAUUGAGGGAGAUGGAAGGUGAGGUCAGAGAAUGAGGUUCUCAAUUCAUAGAUUUGGGCUCAUAGGGGUGUGAGAGUGUGUGUGUGUGUGUGUGUGUGUGUGUGUGUGUGUAAGAGAGCAAGAGAGAGAGGUCUUGUUCCAGGUCUUCUCCUCCAUAGACUCUCCUGACCCUGCCCUGCCUCUUCCUGAGAUGAGUCAUUCACCAGGGGGUUUCCUUGCCUUGUUCCUCCUGGACCAGUGUUGUAUUAGGCUGUUUUAGAGGGAAGUUUGCCGUUCACAUUGAUUUCCUCUCUCAGGCAUACAUGCCCUAAAAAUGCCUCGUUGAUCUUAAAAUGAGCAACUCAGAAUUGUUCUGAGGUUGUGCUGUGGUGGGAAAUCUGCUUCUUUUGAGUCUUUUGUGGCUUUUUUCUUUCUUUGUUCUUUUGGUAUAAGAAGAACCUUGGAUUAAGAAGCAAGCCAUCUGUCUUGUAGUCUUGGGCCAGCAUCACGGUCCAGGGGAAGCCACUUCUUAUCUAAAUAUGUUUCAUUCCUGAAAUAAGAGGUGACCUUAAAUGACUUCUCAGGGACCCCCAGCUGUGACCCAGCGCUAGGUGAAUGCAGGCCUCACGAACAAGCACCAAAUACUCCCCUGGGAAAGGUCAGCAGAACCCAGUGACCCAAUCAUUGCUGCUGCCCCUGAGGGUCACUCAUCUCCGUGCCCAGCCCCUCCACUGAACGAAUGUUCUGCGUCUCACGCUGCUUGUCUAAGACAAGGACAAUGAGGGUUCCUGUACAGUCUGGUUGUAUGAGGAUUAAGUGUGUUCAUAUGUGUAUAAAGUGCUGAGAACAGAGCUUGGCACGCGCAAGUACUGUAUUUCAGCACAUGCUGUUGUUAGUACAAUCAUUCCCCUCAAUGUUGAUUUUAAUGAAAUCACAUCCUCCAGGCCACCAAUAUCUUGACCUGGGGCCUUGCAACGGCACAGCCUCCCUCUGCCAGAGUCAAGUAGGGAGGGAUGACAUUCCUGGAGCCGGCAGUCUCUCUGGAGGUGCAGGGAGCGGGGAGAUGUGUGGACCCCCAGCUCCAGGAGAGGGACUGAUGAG